rnacentral:rRNA from 1 species
UACGAAGGGGGCUAGCGUUGCUCGGAAUCACUGGGCGUAAAGCGCACGUAGGCGGACUCUUAAGUCGGUGGUGAAAUCCUGGAGCUCAACUCCAGAACUGCCUUCGAUACUGAGAGUCUCGAGUCCGGGAGAGGUGAGUGGAACUGCGAGUGUAGAGGUGAAAUUCGUAGAUAUUAGGAAGAACACCAGUGGCGAAGGCGGCUCACUGGUCCGGUACUGACGCUGAGGUGCGAAAGCGUGGGGAGCAAACAGG